rnacentral:rRNA from 1 species
GACGAACGCUGGCGGCGCGCCUAACACAUGCAAGUCGAACGAGCGAGAGAGAGCUUGCUUUCUCGAGCGAGUGGCGAACGGGUGAGUAACGCGUGAGGAACCUGCCUCAAAGAGGGGGACAACAGUUGGAAACGACUGCUAAUACCGCAUAAGCCCACGACCCGGCAUCGGGUAGAGGGAAAAGGAGCAAUCCGCUUUGAGAUGGCCUCGCGUCCGAUUAGCUAGUUGGUGAGGUAACGGCCCACCAAGGCGACGAUCGGUAGCCGGACUGAGAGGUUGAACGGCCACAUUGGGACUGAGACACGGCCCAGACUCCUACGGGAGGCAGCAGUGGGGAAUAUUGCACAAUGGGGGAAACCCUGAUGCAGCGACGCCGCGUGGAGGAAGAAGGUCUUCGGAUUGUAAACUCCUGUUGUUGAGGAAGAUAAUGACG